GACGAACGCUGGCGGCGUGCUUAACACAUGCAAGUCGAACGAUGAAGCCCUUCGGGGUGGAUUAGUGGCGAACGGGUGAGUAACACGUGGGCAAUCUGCCCUUCACUCUGGGACAAGCCCUGGAAACGGGGUCUAAUACCGGAUAACACUCUGUCCCGCAUGGGACGGGGUUGAAAGCUCCGGCGGUGAAGGAUGAGCCCGCGGCCUAUCAGCUUGUUGGUGGGGUAAUGGCCUACCAAGGCGACGACGGGUAGCCGGCCUGAGAGGGCGACCGGCCACACUGGGACUGAGACACGGCCCAGACUCCUACGGGAGGCAGCAGUGGGGAAUAUUGCACAAUGGGCGAAAGCCUGAUGCAGCGACGCCGCGUGAGGGAUGACGGCCUUCGGGUUGUAAACCUCUUUCAGCAGG
rnacentral:rRNA from 1 species